rnacentral:siRNA from 1 species
GAAGCUUAGAGGUCAUCGGUUCGA